rnacentral:lncRNA from 1 species
GACACUGUAGUCUGGAGACCUUUCUUUCAUUUUUUUUCUUUUAGUUGUCUACAAAAACUGUGUUAUUAUAACUGUGUUUUAUAGAGACGUGACUGCUUUCCUCAACUGACUGUAAGAGGAGUGAGGACCUGACACCUCAGAGGGAAGGAGAUCUCUGAAUUUCUCAUCAGUCUCCUGAUCUUACACUCCUUGAGAGGGCGAAAGACAACGGGAAACUUGGUUUUGCUUCGGUUCCCAGUAUUUGAAAUCCAGUGGGACCUUUUGGUACAAAAGCUCAAUUUGGACUGGAUGGGAACCCAGUAUACUAGUUUAAGUCACUGUUGGCUAAUACAGCUUGAAGCUGUUCUACAAUAAAGCACAACAUUCAGCUGUGAGCUUUAUCACUGGGACUCAUCUGACCUUUUCCAGAACUUCCCUGUAAGGAGCAUCCUGUCCCAAAUAGCUCUCUGUGAGUACUGGACCAUCCUUUUGGAUGCGGUGUGAAAUCCA